rnacentral:rRNA from 1 species
CCGCGGUAAUACGAAGGGGGCUAGCGUUGCUCGGAAUCACUGGGCGUGAAGGGUGCGCAGGCGGUUGUGUAAGACAGAUGUGAAAUCCCCGGGCUUAACCUGGGAACUGCAUUUGUGACUGCACGGCUGGAGUGCGGCAGAGGGGGAUGGAAUUCCGCGUGUAGCAGUGAAAUGCGUAGAUAUGCGGAGGAACACCGAUGGCGAAGGCAAUCCCCUGGGCCUGCACUGACGCUCAUGCACGAAAGCGUGGGGAGCAAACAGG